UACGUAGGGUCCAAGCGUUAUCCGGAAUCACUGGGCGUAAAGCGUGCGUAGGCGGCGUGUUAAGUGUGAUGUUAAAUCGUGUGGCUCAACCAUAUCGAUGCAUCGCAUACUGGCAUGCUAGAGGAAGGCAGAGGCAAGUGGAAUUUGUAGUGUAGCAGUGAAAUGCGUAGAGAUCGGAAAGAACACCAACGGCGAAAGCACUCUGCUGGGCCGACACUGACACUGAGAGACGAAAGCUAGGGGAGCGAAUGGG
rnacentral:rRNA from 1 species